AUAGUACUAAUACACUGAAAGCCUGUGAAACUUACAGGGAAUUAUACAGAGGUUAAUGCUGGGUUUUAACAGUAGUUGCAGAUUUACAUCAAGUCUUUUAACUUUAGUGCUAAUUAGCAUCUGAGAAGGGUUCUAAAAAAAGAUAGUGGAACAGAACAAGAGCCCUGCCUGUGUAGGUGGAUCAGGGAAAUAUCCUUUUUUGUCUGUGAAAAAGGGAGAGUUUCCAAAGGCUGAAAAAUAACCUAAUCUCUGGCAGUCUGAUGAAAGGAAGUACACGUCACUCAUGGAAAAUCAUUUGGUGCACCUGGAAGAAAUGAAAAGGAGGAAUCAAUGUUGUGAUUUCUUUACAAUCUGGACUUCAGAAAUGAAGGUUACAGUGGGCAAGAAGGAUGUCCAGGACAGGUGUUGCUGUCUUCCUUAUGUCAUGGAGCAGAAUCCGGUGACUCCUCUGCAACAGAGAAAACAUGAAUAUACGGUAUAUCAAUGAAAAAUGCUUUGAACAGUCUGGAUCAGAACAUCGCCCUGUGCCUCAACCAUGGAAAUACCUGUUCAUCUAGUCUGGGAAUUUGCUAUCAGUGUUUGGUAUCUGAUUUCUGCUACUUUCAUUCAGAAUAGUUUAGGGA